AAAUAAAUAAAUAAGCAUAAAUAUGGGUUGUAUUUACAAUGGUGUUUGUUCUUCACUGGUUGCCCUUUUCUUGUGGCAACAGGUCACAAAUCUUGCUGCUUUGAUGGCACACUGUGGAAUUUCACCCAGUAGAUAUGGGAGUUUAUCAAAACUGGAAUUGUUUUCAAAUUCUUUGUAGAUCUGUGUAAUCUGAGGGAAAUGUGUGUCUCUAAUAUGGUCAUAUAUUGGGCAGGAGGUUAGGAAGUGGAUCUGUGUAAUCUGAGGGAAAUAUGUCUCUCUAAUAUGGUCAUACAUUGGGCAGGAGGUUAGGAAGUGCAGCUCAGUUUCCACCUCAUUUUGUGGGCAGUGAGCACAUAGCCUAUUUUCUCUUGAGAGCCAUGUCUGCCUAUGGCGGCCUUUCUCAAUAGCAAGGCGAUGCUCACUGAGUCUGAACAUAGUCAAAGAUUUCCUUAAGUUUGGGUCAGUCACAGUGGUCAGGUAUUCUGCCACUGUGUACUCUCUGUGUAGGGCCGAAUAGCAUUCUAGUUUGCUCUGUUUUUUUGUUAAUUCUUUCCAAUGUGUCAAGUAAUUGUCUUUUUGUUUUCUCCUGAUUUUCUUGGGUCUAAUUGUGUUGCUGUCCUGGGGCUCUGUGGGGUGUGUUUGUGUUGCUGUCCUGGGGCUCUGUGGGGUGUGUUUGUGUUGCUGUCCUGGGGCUCUGUGGGGUGUGUUUGUGUUGCUGUCCUGGGGCUCUGUGGGGUGUGUUUGUGCUGCUGUCCUGGGGCUCUGUGGGGUGUGUUUGUGUUGCUGUCCUGGGGUUCUGUGGGGUGUGUUUGUGCUGCUGUCCUGGGGCUCUGUGGGGUGUGUUUGUGUUGCUGUCCUGGGGCUCUGUGGGGUGUGUUUGUGCUGCUGUCCUGGGGCUCUGUGGGGUGUGUUUGUGCUGCUGUCCUGGGGCUCUGUGGGGUGUGUUUGUGCUGCUGUCCUGGGGCUCUGUGGGGUGUGUUUGUGCUGCUGUCCUGGGGCUCUGUGGGGUGUGUUUGUGUUGCUGUCCUGGGGCUCUGUGGGGUGUGUUUGUGUUGCUGUCCUGGGGCUCUGUGGGGUAUGUAUAGUUUUUUGUGUGCUCUAGGGCAAUGGUGUCUAGAUGGAAUUUGUAUUUGUGGUCCUGGUGACUGGACCUUUUUUGGAACACCAUUAUUUUGGUCUUACUGAGAUUUACUGUCAGGGCCCAGGUCUGGCAGAACCUGUGCAGAACAUCUAGGUGCUGCUGUAGGCCCUCCUUGGUUGGUGACAGAACCACCAGAUCAUCAGCAAACAGUAGACAUUUGACUUCAGAUUCUAGCAGGGGGAGGCCGGGUGCUGCAGGCUUUUCUAGUGCCCGCCAAUUCGUUGAUAUAUAUGUUGAAGAGGGUGGGGCUUAAGCUGCAUCCCUGUCUAACCCCACGACCCUGUGUGAAGAAAUUUGUGUGUUUUUUGCCAAUUUGAACCGCACACUUGUUGUUUGUGUACAUGGUUUUUAUAAUGUCGUAUGUUUUACCCCCAACACCACUUUCCAUCAGUUUGUAUAGCAGACCCUCAUGCCAAAUUGAGUCGAAG
ensembl:lncRNA